rnacentral:lncRNA from 1 species
AGCGGAGGGGAGAGCGGGCGGCGGGAGGAGCCGUCCUGGCAGCCUGGUCUGGCGCCUGCCAUGUGCUUUGCUCUCUGGAAAAACUGCUCUGGGUGCCUUCAGAAACCCAGCUGCACCCGGUCCCGCACCAGGCGCUGCUCCUGGCAUGUUUUUUAAGGGUUUUGGAGGCAGGACCAUAUGUGCAGCAACUGGAAACCAUAGAGGGUCUGAAUUAAAAGCAUUCUGUAGAACCCUCAUAUACAGGAUAAAGAGAUUAAGACAGAAGAAAGGAAUCUCUUGGAAAUACACAACUGUGAUAAUUACGUAU